GAACUUUGGCAAUUAAAAGGUUCUUGCAUAUUGAAAGGUAAUAAUACAAGAUGGACUCUUUAUUCAACCUUAUGACAAAACAAUUGGAAGAAAGCACGACACAAGUGUGCAAAGAUACUAGGUAUGCUUGCUUGUUGGGUGGAAGAUCCAAAUGGAGAAGCUUUGAAAAAGCAUCUUGCUAGAAUCCCAGAUUAUUUAUCGGUUUCAGAAGAUGGAAUGACCUUGCAGGUUUGUUGUUGUUGUCAACUGGUGGAAUGAAUUUGCUAAAGAUGUCAUCAACGAAAUGUGUUGGAGGCUUGUUGGUAACAAC